UUGCGGUUAAAAAGCUCGUAGUUGGAUCUCGGCGGCUAGAGGGCGGUAUGCUUUGUAGCAUUACUGCCCUAUUAGCCGUAGUUUUGCUAGAGGUUCCUGGGUGCUCUUAAUCGAGUGUCUAGGGAUGCUAGCAGGUUUACUUUGAAAAAAUUAGAGUGCUCAAAGCAGGCUAUUACGCUUGAAUAUUCGUGCAUGGAAUAAUAGAAUAGGAAGUUGUUUCUAUUUUGUUGGUUUUCGGAAAUCGACUUAAUGAUUAAUAGGGACAGUCGGGGGCAUUUGUAUUCAAACGACAGAGGUGAAAUUCUUGGACCGUUUGAAGACAAGCUACUGCGAAAGCAUUUGCCAAGAAUGUUUUCAUUAAUCAAGAACGAAAGUUAGAGGUUCGAAGGCGAUUAGAUACCGCCCUAGUUCUAACCAUAAACGAUGCCAGCUAGCGAUCUGAGGACGUUUUUUUUGUAGACUCCUCAGGAAUCUUCCGGGAAACCAAAGCGUGUGGGUUCCGGGGGAAGUAUGGUUGCAAAGCUGAAACUUAAAGGAAUUGACGGAAGGGCACCACCAGGAGUGGAGCCUGCGGCUUAAUUUGACUCAACACGGGAAAUCUCACCAGGCCCGGACACUGGAAGGAUUGACAGAUUGAGAGCUCUUUCUCGAUUCGGUGGGUGGUGGUGCAUGGCCGUUCUUAGUUGGUGGAGUGAUUUGUCUGGUUAAUUCCGAUAACGAACGAGACUCUGUCCUGCUAAAUAGUGUCAGCCUCUCUUUUGGG
rnacentral:rRNA from 1 species